GACGAACGCUGGCGGCGUGCCUAACACAUGCAAGUCGAGCGGGAAUUUACAGAUUGAAGCUUCGGCAGAUUUCUGUAAAGGAUAGCGGCGGACGGGUGAGUAACGCGUGAGUAACCUGCCCUUAAGAGGGGGAUAACACACCGAAAGGUGUGCUAAUACCGCAUAACAUACAUUUGCCGCAUGGCAGAUGUAUCAAAGAUUUAUCGCUUAAGGAUGGACUCGCGUCUGAUUAGAUAGUUGGUGAGGUAACGGCUCACCAAGUCGACGAUCAGUAGCCGAACUGAGAGGUUGAUCGGCCACAUUGGGACUGAGACACGGCCCAGACUCCUACGGGAGGCAGCAGUGGGGAAUAUUGCGCAAUGGGGGCAACCCUGACGCAGCAACGCCGCGUGAAGGAUGAAGGUCUUCGGAUCGUAAACUUUUGCUUAUGGGAAGAACAAGGACGGUACCAUAGGAGAAAGCCACGGCUAACUACGUGCCAGCAGCCGCGG
rnacentral:rRNA from 1 species